UCUCUCUCUCUCUCUCUUCCCUUCGUUUCUUUCUGUGACGUGUGCCAAAACUUGUGACGCUUUUUAUCUGUUCUUCUCUUUCCUUUACAGAGAUGGCAACAAUAAUCCAGAAACAAGAACUUGAAGAAGAUGAUGAAACCAGGAACGUUGAUCUCAGUAUCGACGGUGCUGCAGGAGAACAUCCGGACAAGGUAGACCCUACCACCAACUCCACGUUGUCAACGGAGGAGGUUGCUCUAAAGGAAGAGCCUGACACAGUGGAGAGAUCACCUUCGCCUCUUGGUGCGAUGCCCGUCGCAGUCCACGUGCCACCAGCGAUCAGCAUGCCGUUGGUGGCUGCUCCACCCAAAAGACCUUCUACGAAGGACCGACACACCAAAGUGGAGGGUCGGGGCAGAAGAAUCCGAAUGCCCGCAACCUGUGCGGCUAGGAUCUUCCAGCUGACCAGGGAACUGGGCCAUAAAUCCGAUGGAGAGACCAUUAGGUGGUUACUUGAGCACGCGGAGCCAGCAAUUAUAGCCGCCACUGGAACCGGAACUGUUCCCGCUAUUGCCAUGUCUGUCAAUGGGACCCUCAAAAUCCCCACCACCUCUAACGCAAAUUCCGAACCCGGCGACCCAUCCGUUAAAAAGAAGCGUAAACGACCCGCAAAUAGCGAGUACAUUGACGUAAGCGACGCUGUCGUUUCAGUCUCCGCUCCUCUUGCCCCGAUACCGACAGCACCACCGCAACACGCAGCUGCAGUAGUUCCUCAGGGUUUAGUUCCUAUGUGGGCCAUACCGUCUAACGGUGUCGUUCCUGGCGCGUUCUUCAUGAUACCGCCCAUGGCGACAUCUACUGCGGGACCUUCUAACCAACCCCAGAUAUUCACGUUCCCAGCUGCGGCUACGCCUCUAAUCAACAUAUCGGCGAGGCCGAUAUCGUCUUUCGUAUCGUCCAUGCAACAAGCUGCCAAUAUAGCAGUAACUAUGCCCGUUUCGAGUUCUCCUGUUUCUGAUUCAAAGCCUGCGAAAGCUACGUCAGUUAUGGCGCCAAGUUCAAGUUCUGCUCCCAUUAGUAGUACUACUACAACAAGUACCACUACCACGCAAAUGCUUAGAGACUUUUCCUUGGAGAUUUAUGAUAAACGGGAGCUCCAAUUCAUGACUCGAUCUUCGAAGCAUUGACAACAUGGAAAACAAGAAAGUGUUUUUGUUGUUUUUUUCCUCAUCUGUUGGCUCUUUUCCUUCAUUGAUGACUUUAUUGGGGUCCAAUUUCUGGUCUAUUCGCCAUUAACGAGUUCAUUUGAGCUCGAAAAUUGCCUUCUCUGAUGGGGAGAGAGAGCACGUACUCACGCGAGGAUGGGCGCUAAUGGUGGGCACGUGUAAAGUGGAUCACGAUUAGGCAGGGUGUGGGGUCCACCGUUUGUGGUGUGCCAACACUCAACCGAAAAUGCAAAGGGCAAGACACUGAAGACUCAGCUCCCUGGACCGUGCAGUGCAAAAAUAUUAGUGUGUUCUUUUUAAAGAGUGGGGCAACCUCAUCGCUCUCUCAUGUGAUGGGGCGCGGGCCCCAAAAAGGGUGGGCUCUAAGGGACUGUUUCGACAUAGUUUACAGGGCGGCCGCGUGGUGGUACCUACCAGGUUGGUUUGGUGGUCCGGUCAGAGCAGUGGAAAAGUAAUACAUGGGCUGGAGAUGAGACACGUGUCCGACGUUAUCUGUAAAUCUGGGUCGUCUCUUUGUAUCUGACACGUUGGGUCCUUGUUUCGGUGGGCCUGAUUGUAGUUUCUUUUAAAAGGAAAACGGAAAGGUAAUGACUGAUAAGGAUCAUAUUGGAAUUGGAUGCCGCUGAUCUUUAUUUGUCUUGUAAUAUCAGAGAGUUACAACCAAAUAUAAAUGUACCCUGUAACAUAUUAUUUCUCCUCCGACUGAGCUUUAGUCCUUUGAAAUACAACAUCUCAUCUCAGUUCACGGCGUCUUUCGAGUUCGACAGUUUCAGCAGUUCGAGUGCCAUUGUGAAGUUUCUUGGUCGUAAAUUUACCGUCGUUCAAUGGGUCACGUAUCGGCGCUGCCGAUGGAGCUCUCUUUGCCCGAACAUCUCCUCCAACCAUUGUUAAGGGCUUCAAAAUCUUCUAACCUCAAAGAGGCAUUAGAAAUUCUUAUAGCAACUUCUAGAAUUGAUCAUGGCCGCGCUGAACUUGCUUCUAAGGAUAUUCUUCCUGCUGUUGUUCAGAUUAUACAGUCCAUGCCUUACCCUUCUGGACAUCAAUUCCUCACGCUCGCCUUAAAACUCCUCAGAAACCUCUGUGCGGGCGAAAUCACCAAUCAGAAACUUUUCAUCGAAUUGAAUGGACCAGGAAUGGUUUCAACUGUUUUGAAGUCUGCGGGGCUUGCUUCUGACCCAGAUCAUGGGAUAACCCGUAUGGGAUUGCAGGUUUUGGCAAACGUUUCUUUGGCUGGAGAAGAACAUCAGCAAUCUAUUUGGCAUUGCUUCUUUCCAAAUGAGUUUGUUGCGCUUGCAAAAGUCUCAAGUCGGGACACUCUUGAUCCUCUUUGUAUGAUUAUUUAUAAUUGUUGUGAUGGAAACCCUAGCCUGGUUGCAGAGCUCUCUGGGGAUCAAGGGUUGCCCAUUGUGGCUGAAGCUGUGAGGACUGCAUCUGCAGGUUUUUUUUUCCUUUUUAAAUUACACUCGUUUUUAAUAAUUUUUUUUUCCUCUUAUCGCCUUUCAUUUAGAUUGCAAUUGUUAGUUCUGAAUUGCUCUUUUGUCAGUUGGUUUUGGAGAAGAUUGGUGGAAGCUACUGCUAUCAAGGAUCUGCUUGGAGGAAGCCCACUUUCCGCAGCUCUUCUCUGGAUUAUGUAGUGUUGGUGAGUCUGAAAACAGUGAAGAUAUUAGUUCAAGUAGCGGCAAUUUUUCAAUGGAACAAGCUUAUCUUCUGCGUAUGGUAUCAGAGAUCUUGAAUGAACGCCUUGGCGAGAUAAUUUCUUCAAUUGAUUUUGGAUUGUAUAUAUUUGGAAUAUUUAAGAGAUCUCUUGGGGUCAUUGACUCGAGCUCAAAAGCCAAAUCUGGCCUUCCAGUAGGUUCUGCUGCAAUUGAUGUUCUUGGAUACUCGCUUACCAUUUUAAGAGACAUAUGUGCUCAGCACUGUAAGAACGGUCUUGGUGAACAUCAAAUGGAUGUCGUUGAUAAACUCUUUUCCUAUGGAUUUCUUGAAUUGCUUUUAUCUGUGCUUGGAGACCUUGAGCGCCCACCAAUUAUCAAGAAAGCCAUGAAACUGAACGAGGGCCAAGAUGCAGCUCCUUUGCGCUCAUUUAGACCUUGCCCUUACCAAGGAUUUCGGAGAGACAUUGUUGCGGUCAUUGGCAAUUGUGCAUUUCAAAGAAGUCGUGUGCAAGAUGACAUUAGGCAGAAGAAUGGAAUUCUUCUGAUGUUACAACAGUGUGUCACUGAUGAAGAUAACCCAUUUUUAAGGGAAUGGGGCAUCUGGUCUGUGAGGAACUUAUUGGAAGGGAAUGCAGAAAAUCAGCGAGCAGUAGCUGAAUUGGAGCUUCAAGGAUCUGUUGAAAUGCCCGAGCUUGCUGGACUUGGUCUCAGGGUGGAGGUGGAUCCAAACACUGGACGUGCAAUGCUUGUGAAUGUGUCAUGAAAGAUACAACCUUGUGCCCCUCGUAUGAGUCCAAUGGGCAUAUGCUUCCCUUCCACUUGUUGGUAUAUACUCUCUUUGGUCAGUAACUGGAGGGAUUCCUUAGAAAAUAGGCAUCUGAUAUUCUUUGGAGCGUUAUCUUCAUCCUUGUGAUUCUCAGAUUUUAUCAAACUUAAAAGACGCUAGAGGUCUUUUUUAAUGUGUAGCAAAUACUGUUCAGAAAGUUGUACAUAGGCUUAACAAGACGAGGGGCGUGUGGAUUAUUUGGGAUGAAUGAUAACUAACAUGAGAAGAACUUUCAUAGGGAUCUUUCGGUUCCAGAAUCAACGGGGUUCACUUUGCUAUUUUCUUGAAUUAGGAUAUAAAUUUUGCCUAGAGAUCUAAAAUUAUAAUUAUAGCUGCCAUUUGGGUCAGUUCGAGUGAAGUUGGAGGAGAUAAAUGAAGUUUUCUGAAACCAACUGUUUCAUGCUCUGGAUUUUUCUCAUAAUAAAGAUUGGUGAACUCCUUAGCACACCUGAAUGUCCUCGGAAGGAAAAGAGGUAAUUAGAAAAAUUUCUGCAAUGGUUCAAUGGUUUGUGGUGGUUCCAAAAGCUAAUGAGAAUUCUUCUGAUUCAAACAUUGGUUAACACUAUAAACAAUACUAGCUACAAACUUGUAGGUAAAAAAAUUCUUUAAUUCUUUAUCUUGUUAUUGUAUGUAUACAAAAAUAUACAAGAACAAUCUCAUCCUCACAGGUCCUUGAACACAUGAUAAGAUUUUUUUCUUUUUUCUUUUUUUGAUAAGCAACUCAUAAUAAAAAUUACUCCCUCGAAGCGUGAAUGUCAAUGCGAAUGCCAAUAGGGAGGAGGGAGUGUGUGUGUUGUUGGUCUUGAACAGGUUCAGAUAGAAGGCAUAUCUCGAAAUUGUGCUUCUAUUAAACUCUUGUGGCUUCGGCGUCUAACCCUUUUCUAUUUAGAUGGUCAGAUUCUCUUGAAUGG
rnacentral:misc_RNA from 1 species